GAUGAACGCUGGCGGCGUGCCUAAUACAUGCAAGUCGAGCGAACGGACGAGAAGCUUGCUUCUCUGAUGUUAGCGGCGGACGGGUGAGUAACACGUGGAUAACCUACCUAUAAGACUGGGAUAACUUCGGGAAACCGGAGCUAAUACCGGAUGAUAUUUUGAACCGCAUUGUUCAAAAGUGAAAGACGGUCUUGCUGUCACUUAUAGAUGGAUCCGCGCUGCAUUAGCUAGUUGGUAAGGUAACGGCUUACCAAGGCAACGAUGCAUAGCCGACCUGAGAGGGUGAUCGGCCACACUGGAACUGAGACACGGUCCAGACUCCUACGGGAGGCAGCAGUAGGGACUCUUCCGCAAUGGGCGAAAGCCUGACGGAGCAACGCCGCGUGAGUGAUGAAGGUCUUCGGAUCGUAAAACUCUGUUAUUAGGGAAGAACAUAUGUGUAAGUAACUGUGCACAUCUUGACGGUACCUAAUCAGAAAGCCACGGCUAACUACGUG
rnacentral:rRNA from 1 species